GUUGUCUUGGCCUUGAGACAUCUAAGGUUGGUUUGUUCCAAAGGACAAGUCGAGCUAGCACGUCCGCAAAUAAGGCUUAGCUCGUCCUUUGGCUUAUGUAGACACGAGCCGAGACUUAGUCGGCCCACAACCUCAAGACAAGUCAGCUCAUGGGCCUUAAGAGUAGAGCUCAGUCAGCCCAUGAAAAUUAUUGAGCCCGAUUCGAUUCAUGGCUCAUCUCUACACGAGCUCAAGUGGCCCAUAGGACUAGGAAUGAGUCAAUCCUAUGAAUAGCUUAAUAACAAUCUUGAGAUGGUGGAGCCGUUAGCAAUACCAAUCUCGUACCAACAUAGUUGGAGUAAUAGUGCUUUGGUUAGGCCAUCUACACUAUCAUGAAUGAGGUGGAAAUCAAUUUCAAUGUUUCAUUCAAAAGUCAAGCACCAAGUUUUAGCAAAGAGAUGUAAUGCCUAUAUUGUCACAGUAGGUGUGAUGCCUAGAAAAGAUUUUAUCAUUAGGAAGGUGGUGCUUGCAACAGUUCCAUGUUCAGCUUUAGUGAAGGAGCGAACAACUGAGCGUUUCUUGCGACAGCCCUAAGCUAUGGGAUUAUGAAUAAUGAAUACUACAUGGGCCAUAGUGGAGGUAUGAUCGUAUAUAAAGGGCAUGGUAAGUUAGAGGAGAACCACGUGGAUAGGGGCGGAGCUAGGAUCGAUCUACAAGUUGGGCUAAUACCUAACAAGUUUGGCUAACAUGUAAAAAAAAUAUAAAUUUACACAUAAAAAAAAAUUUUUUUUUUUGCCCUAAAAAUAUUAAGUGGGCUUCAGAGGGGACUGGGCUACAACCCAGCCCAGUCCCCCCUUAGAUCCGCCCCUGCAAGUGGAGGAAAAUGUUAUAAUGAGAAGUGGCACAAAGAUAUCACACUAAGCAUUUAACUAUGGCCCAACAUUUGAUUGUUGAACAAUGCAUAAACUGAGACAAUUUGUCAACGGUGAAGAUGAUGUCUGACCGAGUCAAUAAGAGCUCUUGAGUUUGCCAACCACUAGUCAAAAGUCAAUGGAGUAAUGCUAUUUAACUCCAUUAGGGUUGCAACCCUAGUCUAGAAGCGCUAAUGUGGCAUUAAAUGAUUACUGAAAUUAAAUAUGAGUCAUUCAAUUUUACUAUUUUAUCAUUUAACGCUUUCCAAACUAGGGAUGUAAUCCCAGUGGAGUUAUAUAGCAUUAUUCAAUUCAAUGGCAUACUCAUCAUUGAAGCGCAUAGAGGAAGAUGGGGACAUAAGUUUUUGAACUGAUCGAGAACCAUACAUAUUUGUGUGAUGGAGUAAAUAAUGAAUAUACUGGCAUUGAGAGAGAAAUAGGUCGAAGGGGUAACAUCCACAUUAAAAGAAGAGAGUACCAGGAUGUUUUUGUUGGGUUUUGGUACCCAAUAAAUUCAGGACGAUGAUGUUAAAUAGUUUCGGAUUAUAUUUUAUAAGUCUAGAUCGAUGAAUGAAAUAAUUAUCAAUACAAUAAAUUUAUAUGCUCAAACCGAAAGCAACGUGGGCCACUAGUAGCAACUUAAUUUUGUUAAUGUUGCCUUGACCCAAAUUCACUUAUAGGAUGGCUUUCUUGUGUCGUGGCCCAUUUUCUUUGUGUUGUCCCAUUUGUUGGAUAUUAGUCCAAGUCAUGGUAACCUAAACUAACCUAUAUAUACCAACUUUCUUCUCAUUGUAACUGUCUGUUUUGUCCCUUUGUUGAGAAGAAAAUCGAGGCUGCUCAUUCUUCAUCCUCUUCGUGCCUCUGCCUUCUAUUAUCUUCUCUUUGCCUUUGUAGUUUGCAAAUCACCACCAUAUUCUUGUCCCUUUGUGGGUGAGUAAGAAAGAAAGCAACCAUAAGCGAAUCUAAGUUGCGGGUUUGGAGUUUUGGUUGAUAUUGAUUGAUGAGUUGAAAUUGAACCCGGAAUCCAUCAAUUGAAGAUUAAUUCCGCUAUAGUUUUUGAGUAAAUUGAUAGCCAAGUUAGGAAAAACUCAU
rnacentral:lncRNA from 1 species